GGCGGCGGUCACGCGGUAGCAGCGACGCGUUUGGAGGUUAAGACGAGAGGAAAGAUAAGAACGCGGACCUUGCGCGAAUUCCUCCAGGAGUACAAUUGGGACCAUGUGACUACUUGCUGUUAUCAAUCUGAUCCAAUGAGAUAAACGGUUUCCUGGUGACAAACAGUUUACAAAAACAACAAAUAAGAAUUGGUCUGAGAGACAUAUGAUGUUACUUCAGUGUCAAGAUCGCGGGUCUCAGGGUCUUAAACUUGUCAUGAGGUAAAUAACGGAUCAAUAUCUCAUAAUCGAAUCUUCCGGUACCGGAAAGUCAGACUCGACCAUGACUGUUUGUCUUCGGCCAACGGCGGAGGAGCUGUCAUUAUGUACUCACGUUUUGUCGCGGUAAAAGCACUCGAACGAUCUCGACAUUUUCGAACAAAACGAACAUCCUCGAGUGCCCGAGAGGAGUUUGAAUGACUGCCGAAAGGAUACCGCUAUAUUUGUUCCAAACGUUUUCUUUACUUUUUUUUUCUGUUUUGCACAACCGCUACCUUGCAAACUUCGGCCCGACUGCUCUCGUUCGCGAGUGAUUUUACGGCGACCGCCAAUCGCUGAUUUUUACGACGAAUCCGGUCGUACGAUGGGCCUCGUAAAUCUUUAUGUGUUUACGAUAAGAAUUACGGUUCAAUGGGACAAAUGCAAUCGACUGUCGUGUGUAAUAAACUCGAGGUGAUAGCAGCUCAUCGCGUUUGGCUGACUGCAUUUCUACAAAGUGAGAAGAACCUUGGUUUUCGAAGGAUUUCUGGCGCUCCACUCGAAGCAUAUGCACAUAAUUUUGCAUGAAUAAUAUUUAAUGACCGUUUUGCAAU